UGUGUUUUGCGGAUAUUAUUUGAUAGCGCAGACAGCAUUAAGCAAGUUGAAUAAUCGCUCAAUAAUCUUUUCCUUUUCCAGUCACACACAUCCAGCAAAGAUAUUUCUGCUCCCCUUUCGCUGAAAACCAAAGAGUCGUAAACACCGUGAUUGCCCUUCAUUUUUAAUAACCAGGCAACCUAUCAAACAAAGUAUAUUUAAAACAUGUAAGCACAGCUAUUGUGAGGAAUAAAACGGUGGAAAUGCUGAUGUAGAAAACAUAACACCCAAUAGUGUUGUCACCGGAUGAUCCCCAAUACUGACCUAUAGAUCAGAUUCUCUUCUGUGGGAAACUUUGACAACGCUGCAAGUGUCAAGUGUGAAUCCAACUUCAAAUGAAGGAUAUUUGAUAAUUAUUUUUAAAUCAGGCAAACUUAAUGUCCUCAUUGCCUUCUGAAACAUUAAUCGCAGGAAGUCUUAUCAGAAGUGUGAUUGUUUGAUUUUUUUUUUUUUUUUAUGUACGUCAUUCCUUAUGUAAAACCUGUAAGAUCUGAACAAACAAUGCUUCAUUUGAUUAUCUUAACGCUGUGUUAGUAAGAAUUUGCCAUUAAGCUCUUUCUUUUUUACUUUCUUUCUGUUUCUUCACCACACUUUACCCACUUAGACUGGGAAAUGACAAACUUACAAUCUGCUUGCUGUAUACUGAUCUGAAGUAUUCAUGUGUGCCCGUAAACACACACACACACACACACACACACACACACACACACACACACACACACACACACACACACACACACACUGGGGAAACCCAUAGUGGAUUACAGAUGAGUUUGAUGUAGUGUUUGCUUUCAGUCGGGCCCUAUGUUAAUUGAUCCCAUUGAUUAUGUACAGAGCCUGCAGGCUGGGACCCGCCCCGUCCCCUUCAGCUCAAAUCCCCACAGACCUCAGUUUAUCAUUCCUUUAGCCAACACACACAAACACAAGCAAUUCACAGCAUACAGAUAAAUACUUCACAGGUCAUGGAACUCCUAUUUACUUUCCCCCUGCCCCAUAAUGGUCACACGCUGUUCUGUAAUGGAAAUCUCUGUUCUUUCAUCAAGUGUGUGCUGCUCUACAUGUUCAUUGGUAUUCCUGAGCAAAUGCAGUGCAAUAACAGGGCUGGCCAGGAAAUAUGACGUGUCACAUAGAGCAAGCUCAUACCACUGCUGGAGAGAUUAGCUCCGCGGAAGCAGCACAAUAGAGUUAUGCUUAUUAUCGCAGACAGUGUGAAGUCGGGAGGUGAAGAUCGAUACUUCAUAAGGUCAGGUGUUGGUCCAAUGAUUGUCACAUGAAUGACACUGACUGACAGGCCGAUUAUCAGUGUCAGAAAGAGAACAAACUAGAGCAAACUUCACAGGAAGUAAAAAAAAAAAGCAGUAAACUAUUAAACUAUGCUCAGACAGAUUUCUGAGCCCUCUGGAGCUUUGCACAUUCCAAACAAUCAUCAUCACCAGGGUCAUUUUAAACAUUUAUUGACAGCAGCAUUCAUAUUUAACGGAAUGUUUUAAAAUUCCAUUCUUUGACGCGUCCUCACACUCCGUUCUGUGACGCAGCACAAUAGUCCUUGACGUGAAUGGAAUGUUGAACAUGUUGAAUGUUGAACAUGAACGUGUCAUAGAAUUAGGGUUCUGGCAUCUCGAUUUUUCACGGCAUGUGUGGAUAUGUUAUAGAAGACCAUGUUUGGACAUGUCAGAUGUUAGUACAUGCCAUUGAAAGGAAUGUUUGGAUGCGUCAGAGUCUUUGAACGUGUCAGGGACAUUUCGUAGAAUGGAUUAUUGAGACGUGUCACCAAUUUGUGUUAUGUUACAUCAUAUGUGUCUUACAAGCUGAUAAAUGGCGGCCAUAACCACUCGAAGAAGGUCCAUGCCAGAUAUUCAAAGUGUUUGGCUCACGACAAUCAGCUCAAGAAAUAGAGGAGAAAUGAAAGACCGAAGGACGGAGGGAGAUACGGAAGACAAGGACAAAUGGACCAAAAGACUGAGAGAAAGAGAGAACAAGGACAAAGACAGGAAGGACGUGUGUCGCACUUACAGUGGAGAUCCAGAUUACACAAGGAGAUAAUGAUGGACCUGGCUGAGCCACAGAUUUAAGGGGCCCGGGAUAGAUUUACUCCCCAACAAUAUAAUCUAGACAGUGAACCAGGGUUUUGAUGUAUUGAGUCGUGGCUGGGCGGAGAGGAGCCAUGUUCAGAGAUUGUCUCUAAUGAGCUCACCCAUGUUGAAGUGCAAAGAAGGGUGACAUUAAUUUUUAAUGGGAGCAUUAAAAGCUUAGUUAAUGGAGAAUAGUGAGCAUUUGUGAUUAAGUGGCCAAAUUAAUGGCGUCACAUUAAAACUUUGCUGAACUCAAUCUGCCGUCCUGUCCGCGACACAGGGCUCUCCUGAUGCAGUCGGACGAGGAUCUGAAUGUUGAGUGAAAAAUUCCUCCUUGGAGAGCAAUAGCACAACUCUGAGGUCGUAGACGAUGAGGCUCAGGUUAUUGCGUUUGUUGUUAUUUCAAGUAAUCCCACAAACAAUUAAUGAAUCCAGCUCUCAUUACUCUCUAACUCCUCGUCUCGAGACUCACUGUACCAAUCCCACCAGUAAUAUCUGCACAAAGGAGAAGGUCAAGUGAAUUUCUAAAAACAGCUGUGAGCUGUAACAACACUCAAACAAGCGUAAACAGUGUGUUUGUUUGGGACUAUUUUAGCUGAGCUGAGCUAAAUUCACAUUUUGUGCAGCAGGAUGGUGUGCUGUAUGUGCAGGUGACUCAAAAUAAACUGAAUUCACCCAUGUCAACAGUAAGGAAGGAACAUGUCCCUCAGAGCGACAAUUUUUUAACAGUUAUUUGACAGCAGUUGAGCUCUGUGUCACGUCAGAAGGCUGCACGGAUAAAUCUUGUUGGCAGGAUCGAUUUAUCGGUUUCCCAGCAGUCUUUUCUUUUCCAAAGGAGGCAGACAGUUGCGUCAUUAUGGACCCUACUGCUUUUCCUGUUAAGACCAGCCCAACUAUCUUGCCUUUUUGGCAAGAACUCAUUGCCACUGUCGUACUCUACAUCUGAUUGGCUGAUACCUAAUCUCACUUCUCACCCCUAAACCAAACCAAUCCAACCAACGCCGGCACCCAAUCAGAGGCAGAAUAAGGUGGGUCUUAGCAAGAAUUGGAGUGGAAUCAAGAAUAAACCCAGACAGGUAAGAGAUAAAUUAUCCGAUAUUAUUUGCAGCUGUCAUAUUGUGCAUAGGCCUGAAUGAGCUAGCUGGUGCAAUACUGUGAUGUCCUUCGAGCCAGCUUGUGACAGUCACCAGUACCGACUGCGCCCACUUAGGAAACAGUAUGUGUACCACUUCAUACCAAUGGUGCAGCUUGUGAUGCAUCAUCUUCUGUUUCUGAGCAUCUUUGAUUUUGCAUCGCCGCCUUUGAAGCCUCAAAAAGGUUUAUACAACUUUUUCACGUAUGCUAUAGUACAGCACUCAUCCCGACCAGUACACAGACUUUGAUCUGUAGAAACCGAGUUUCCCUUUUAAGUUCUUAUGCUCCUAAUGUUUUCUGUCUUUUUUGUCAUAAAACCGGAGGGGGUAGAUCAGUUACAGAGCUCUGAAGUUAUCAGAUUUAUAAAUUCAACCUUUAUUGUUCUGAAUAGUACAUGACACAAUAGCCGAUCCCUCUCUGCCAGCCCUUGUACCUGCCAGCCUCCCUGUCGGCUCAUCAGGCUUUAUCUGUAACAAGAUAUUUUACCGUCUCUUUUGUCUCUGACAUUGCAGCUUUCUUUUUCAUGUCUGCACAUCAGCAGAGGUCUGUGUGAAUUUGUUGUUCUGGAGUACUACCUUUAGAAAUGUUACACAGAAGAAUAUCAUUACAGGUAGUCAAUAUCAAUUUAGAAGUGCUGUUUUCUUUCUUUCUGUCUGCACAAAUACCCUCUGUUUUGUCCGAAGACACUGCCCACCUAAUAGAUUCCCUGUUUGCUUUCGUAUUGUUUAUGCCACCCAGUGAAGAGCAUUUCUGAAGAAACGCUGCCUGCAGCUGAGACACCCUGACCUCAGCAAUGCUGGAAACAGCACAAGCACGCUCCGUGCUUUUAAACAGCUUCUUUUCAUGCUAAUAUUACAAACGGGGGAAGGCUGAGCAUGCCAUCGGAUGCUUAAUUAAAGAGCCUUUUAUAUCAUU